GACGAACGCUGGCGGCGCGCUUAACACAUGCAAGUCGAGCGAGAACCAGGGCUUCGGCCCUGGGGAAAGCGGCGAACGGGUGAGCAACACGUGAGUAAUCCACCCUCGGCACCGGGAUAGCCCGGGGAAACCCGGAUUAAUACCGGACGGCCCGCCGGCCCCGCGGGGCUGGUGGAAACGGUAGCUUCGGCCUCCGGCCGAGGACGAGAUAGCGGCGGAUUAGCUUGUUGGCGGGGUAACGGCCCACCAAGGCGACGAUCCGUAGCUGGUCUGAGAGGACGAUCAGCCACACGGGGACUGAGACACGGCCCAGACUCCUACGGGAGGCAGCAGUGGGGAAUCUUGCGCAAUGGGCGAAAGCCUGACGCAGCGACGCCGCGUGAGGGAAGAAGGCCUUCGGGUUGUAAACCUCUUGCAGUAGGGACGAAGCCACUCGGGUGAAUAGCCCAGAGGGUGACGGUACCUACAGAAGAAGCCCCGGCUAACUACGUGCCAGCCGCCGCAGUAACAC
rnacentral:rRNA from 1 species